AGUGUAGCACAGUGGCAGAGCACUUGCCUGGCAUGUGAGAGGCUCUGGGUUCAAUUCCCAGUAUU
rnacentral:tRNA from 1 species